AAUCAACGGCCGCUCGUGCGGCCGUGGGGUGGCCGCGGAAUGACCGCGGGGCUGCCGCGUAACGCCCGCGGCGCCCCGCCCUCGCUGCGCCCGAAGAAGCCGGAGGGGAUCGCGUCUGCGAUCCCCUGCUCUGGCUCCUUCCAAAAAAAGGAAAACGGGGCUGAAGUCGGCUGGGGCUGCCGACUUCAGCCCGUAUCUCAC
rnacentral:lncRNA from 1 species